UAAUUGAGAGGUAUCGUAAAAAGUACCAGAACAGUGGAAAGGAGCAUCAAACAUGGACCCCGGAUUGGAGAAGACUCCCGAGAGAGGUGAAGCCAAAGAAAAAGACCAAAAAAGCUUUCUUCUGCAGAGUUGUGAACCAGAUCCUUCAACAGCAGUUGGAGCUGACUUGACCACCUGCCUUCUUGGUGACAAAAAUUCAGGUAGAAUUCCACAUCUCUCCCGCACCCUCGGCUGUGGACCACAGUAUCCUAGAUACCAGCAGUGCUUGGCAAAAAAAAAAAACACCUACAGCAUGGAUUGUGUUCAGCUUUUGAAGGCCAGCUAUAUGCAUAUGUAUGUAGCAAUCACAUGUUUGCAUUUAAGCCCAAGUACUGCAAGAACAUGUAUUUGGAAAGAUUAG
rnacentral:lncRNA from 1 species